rnacentral:misc_RNA from 1 species
AACAUUCUGCUUGCGAUAGCGAAGAUUUUGCAAUUUUACGAUCAUGGCACAUUAGCGUUAGUGUCAGUAGGAAGUGUGCUGAUACCACCCAUCCCAGAUUAGCAGUGCAAAGUGGGCUCAUUAAAGGACGAGUUGAAAGUCAUGUUCCUAGGAAAUAUUUGAAUUGCGAAUUCUUACAAGUCAAACUGACGAGUUUUGACAAUGAAGAAUGCCCUCCCCUUGGUUGUUGGUAUACUGUUUUUAUUGAUAAAUAAAAGUACCAUGUCUCUCUGUACAUACAACUACGAUUUUCGAUAUACAGGAAUGUUUAGAUAAUUAAUCUUUUAAGAGAAAUUCUUUUAGUAAUGCAAAUUUCUAUGAUUGUAUAAUAUGCUUGAAACUGUGAUUUGUCUGGGGUUUUCUUUUUUGUUAUAUUUUUAUUAUGUACAACGACUCUUGUUCACCCAGGUCGAAGAGCUAAGGGUCGCUCAUUUCUAUAUUUCUUUCAAGUUUCCUUUUUUUGCUUAAUACAUUAUCAUUUGAUUGUUGCGAUUGAUUGUUACAAUCGAUCGCUCGCACCGAUAAUCUCAAUUAAGCUCAGCGUGUUGACUUACUUUAUCUAACCUUUAAAAUAGGUCAUCGCUACAAAAAUUAGUAAACGAAAGAAUAAAGAAAAUACAAAUCCUUCAAUUGAUUUCUCGUUUUACUCCCUUUUUACUCGGCAAUGUAAUAAUAAAUUAAUAAUAUACAUU